GCGCCCGUAGCUCAGAUGGAUAGAGUACUUGGCUACGAACCAAGGAGUCGGGAGUUCGAAUCUCUCCGGGCGCACCA
rnacentral:tRNA from 1 species